rnacentral:rRNA from 1 species
UACGUAGGGGGCAAGCGUUGUCCGGAAUUAUUGGGCGUAAAGCGCGCGCAGGCGGUUGUUUAAGUCUGGUGUAUAAACCAAGGGCUCAACCUUUGGACGCAUUGGAAACUGGGCAACUGGAGUGUAGGAGAGGAAAGUGGAAUUCCACGUGUAGCGGUGAAAUGCGUAGAUAUUGGGAGGAACACCAGUGGCGAAGGCGGCUCACUGGACCGGAACUGACGCUGAGGCGCGAAAGCGUGGGGAGCAAACAGG